CAGAAGGCUUGCUGUUACUGAAUCUCCUUCAGAAAACAGGGAGGGAUGUUGGCUUCUGUGGCUGCAUUACUGAUCUCUGAGGGGGCUGGUGGAGUUUGCUUUUGGACACUUGGUGUUUGGAGCCGGAGGGCACGGACUCCUUCCAGACUGCGCCAGUGCUCGGACGUCAGAGAGGGACGCGGACGCAGCUGCCUCCUGGGCUUAUUUUCGGAAGGGAGAUUGGCUGCAGUCAGUGACACGUGGGCAGCUGGUCCCCAGGUCUUCCUGACACCGAGGCCCAUGUGCUGACUGCCUUUCACAUGCAGGACUCACAUCUGCACGCAGAGCUGACCCAGGAGACUGAGGGUCUUGCCCAGAGUGAAGUCCAGACCUGCAAGGGAGGCAGCAGUUUCUGGUUAUACCCUGGGGAUCUGGGACUUCGAGGUAAGACAUUCUUCUGAUAUGCGAGGGUCGUUCAAAAACUACUGGGCAGCCUCCAGACAGGACA
rnacentral:lncRNA from 1 species